rnacentral:rRNA from 1 species
GACGAACGCUGGCGGCGUGCUUAACACAUGCAAGUCGAACGGAAAGGCCCUGCUCUUGUGGGGUGCUCGAGUGGCGAACGGGUGAGUAACACGUGAGUAACCUGCCCUUGACUUUGGGAUAACUUCAGGAAACUGGGGCUAAUACCGGAUAGGAGCUCCUGCUGCAUGUUGUGGGCUGGAAAGUUUCGGCGGUUGGGGAUGGACUCGCGGCUUAUCAGCUUGUUGGUGGAGUAGUGGCUUACCAAGGCUUUGACGGGUAGCCGGCCUGAGAGGGUGACCGGCGACAUUGGGACUGAGAUACGGGCCAGACGCCUACGGGAGGCAGCAGUGGGAAAUAUUGCACAAUGGGCGGAAGCCUGAUGCAGCAACGCCGCGUGCGGGAUGACGGCCUUCGGGUUGUGAACCGCUUUCGCCUGUGACGAAGCGUGAGUGACGGUAAUGGGUAAAGAAGCACCGGCUAACUACGUG